CCAACAUCCACACCAUUUCAAAGCCGGGGCUAUGAAUGCCUUGAUUAGAGUGUCAUCAAAGAUCAGCAAUGGACCGAUUAUUCUCAAUCUAGAUUGUGAUAUGUACUCAAAUAAUUCAUUAUCUAUCCAGGAUGCACUCUGCUUCUUCAUGGAUAAAGAGAAAAGCCAUGACAUUGCUUUUGUGCAAUAUCCACAGCACUUUGGAAAUCUUACGAAGAAUGAUAUAUAUAGCAACUCAUUACGAGUUGGUUUCAAUGUGGAAUUCCAUGGUCUGGAUGGUUAUGAAGGCCCUCUAUACAUUGGAACUGGCUGCUUUCAUAGGAGAGAUGCUCUCUGUGGAAGGAAAUUCACUAAAGAUUUCAAGUUUCAAUGGAAGAAAGAUGAUGAAAAUAAGAUACAAAAGACUAUGCAAGAAUUAGAAGAAGAAACAAAACCUCUUGCAAGCUGUACUUACGAGCAAAACACUGAAUGGGGAAAUGAGGUGGUGUAUGUCCUCUCUCUCUAUUUUUAACUUCUCCUUUGAACUUGGAAAAAACGAAUCUGUGACUCCAUUUUAUUAUAACUAGAUGUUUGAUUGCAGAUAGGACUUAAAUAUGGGUGUCUAGUGGAAGAUGUGAUUACAGGGUUGUUAACCCAAUGCAAAGGAUGGAAAUCAGUUUACCUCAACCCUGAAAGGAAGGCAUUCUUAGGUGUUGCGCCAAUCACCUUGUCUCAGACACUAGUGCAGCAAAAGAGAUGGUCUGAAGGUCAUCUCCAGAUUUUACUCUCUAAGUAUAGCCCUGCAUGGUAUGCGCAUGCAAAGAUUAGCCUUGGGCUACAACUGGGAUAUAUCUGCUAUAAUAUCUGGUCUGUAAACUGCUUGGCAACCCUGUAUUACUCCAUCAUUCCCUCGCUUUAUCUCCUGAAAGGCAUAUCCUUGUAUCCACAGGUCUCAGAUCCAUGGUUUUGGUCAUUUGCCUAUGUGAUAUCUGCAAAGUACAUUUAUAGCCUUGUUGAAUUCUUGUGUUCUGGCGGCACAAUCCUUGGGUGGUGGAAUGAACAACGAAUAUGGCUAUACAAAAGAACAACCUCCUACCUUUUUGCAUUAAUUGAUACCAUUUUAAAGACAUUAAAAUUUACUAAUGUAACAUUUUCAAUCACUGCCAAAGUAGCUGAUGAAGAUGUAUCUCAACGUUAUGAGAAAGAGAUAAUGGACUUUGGAGCUUCCUCUCCAAUGUUCAACAUCUUAGCUACGCUUGCAAUGCUUAACUUGUUUUGCUUUGCAGGAGUGGUGAAGAAAGUGAUCAUGGAUGAGAACUUUAGGCUUUAUGAGGAAAUGUUUCUGCAACUUCUUCUUUGUGGUGCUUUGGUUCUCAUCAACUUACCCUUGUAUCAAGGCCUUUUCCUAAGGAAGGAUAAGGGCAAGGUGCCAAGUUCUAUCACAAUUAAAUCAUUUUUAUUAGCUCUUCUUGCUUGUACUAGCUUCACAUUCCUGUAUUGAAAUUUCAAUUUCAUGUCCUGUAGUGUAAUAGGUCGGGUUAAAUUUCUGUAAAUUUUUCCUAUCGGAUAAUAAGAGUUUGUUUUUGAGUUGUAGCUUAUUGUUUUCAUUAUGGUGAAUUUUUUUCUCUCUUUUCUUGCUCUUGGACAUAGAUUUUACAAUUGAAACACAAAUCUUGUGUUUUCGUUUCUUUUUUAGCUAAAAUGUAUUUUUCGACUAUGUACAUUAAAUUCGUGUGGUUGUUAUAAUAAUUUUGUAUCAGAG
rnacentral:misc_RNA from 1 species